rnacentral:lncRNA from 1 species
AGGAUUUGAUUUAGGAUUUAGAAUAUUUUUAAGAUUUGAUUUAGGAUUUAGAAUUUUCUUAGGAUUUGAUUUAGGAUUUAGGAUUUUUUUAGAAUUUUAUUUAGAGAUUAGAGUUUAUUUAGGAUUUGGUCUUGGAUUUAGGGUUCGUCUAGGAUUUAGUUAAGGAUUUAAGAUUUGUCUAGAAUUUAGUUUAAGGUGUAGGGUUUAUCGAAAGUUUGAUUGAAUUCUAUUAAAGUUUUAAUGAAGCUUAAAUUAAAAAUUGAUUGAGAUUUAUUUAAGAUAUAUUUGUGAUUAUUCUAAUAUUUUUUAGGAUUUCUCAAGGAUUCUUUUAAGAUUUAUUAUAAAUUUUCUUUCAAUUCCUUUAAGAUUUCUUAUUAUUUUUCUUGUAAUUCUUUUAAGGUUUCUUUUAAAUUGGAUUAAAGCUUAUUUAAUAUUAUUAAGGUUUAAUUAAAAUUUAUUUAAUAUUCUAUUAAAAUCAAGAUUUUAUUGUAGCUAUUUCUAUUCUAGUUUCUACAACAAGUGCCUGAUG